UCCGGAAGAUGGAAUGCAUAAUAAAAAGCCUUUCUAAAAGGGAACCAAAAGUGUUGACCUUUUUUACAGUCGAGUUCUCUCUUUUUUUCAUGCCUUCACAUUUUUUCAAAAUUUCUGUUUAUGGACGGCAUUACACGAUAUACCGCCAUAUUUCGACAUUACGUGAAAAAAAAAAAAAAAAUCCGAAAUCUAUUCAUAUAAAUGUAACACAGACGUCUUCUCUUAUUAUAAACUUUUUUAAAAUAUAUCAUUAACGAAAUCCGAAAUCUAUUCAUAUAAACUUUUUUAAAAUAUAUCAAUAGCAUGGUACGUUCGGGAAAGUAAAAUUUGAAGCCAUUUCUUAAAUGAUUCAAUCAUAC
rnacentral:lncRNA from 1 species